rnacentral:lncRNA from 1 species
AAUAAUCUACCCACCACUAUAUAUGAACCACUACCCCGAAGUUUUGAGAGAGGAAAGAGGGAGGAGAGCGGAGGAGAGGCGACAUGGAUCUUGAGGCCAAUUCCUUCCUAGGAGAUGGAUGUUGAAGCGAACUUCUUCUCCUUCCUCCCUCCCUCCGAUCCUUGAGUCUUAACCCUAGACGGAGAGAUGGUCGGCGACGAUGGAAUGGCGGAGAUCCUCCAACUCUUCUGUGCGCGAAGCAAUUUCCAUCCGGAUCUUUUCCUAUCGAGGUAUUUGUAAAGAUCCCCAAAUUACAAGCCCUUGGAUUCUUGACUCUUUCGCUUGUGAUUUCUUUUGCUUCUGUUGUCACGACAUUCGUUUGCAAGAAUGUUGGCAAGAUGUUGUUCUGCAAGAAAAGGAAAUGGGGAUCUCGAAGAGUAUCUCCUCGAACCGUCUUAAGGGCACUUAAUUAAACUUUAUAAUCUAUACCGAUCCUUGAGUCUGACCCCUGAAUGAAUAAGCGACAUAAUAUGGUGGAGAGGUAGAAGAUCCUCUAGAUCUCCUGCGAUGUAUUGGUAAACAUCUCCCAAAAGUAAUCGUUCUUGUAUUCUUGAUUUUUUUUUUAAUCUUGAGUUGAUACGUUUGAUUGUUGAACUGGUUCCUUUUGGUAUUGCAUAACGUGUCCAGAUUGUUUGUGAUUUCUUUUUCUUUUGUUAUUAAGAAUCCUAACAACUUCACAUGUCCUUUCCAAAGAUGUUGUUAGAAUGUCCUUCGGCAAGAAAAUGAGGAUUGGGAUGUGAUUCAUCAUCCUAAAGGUUGAUGAAUUAGAUUAUAACCUUUACCAACUCACUUGAUUCCUCUUUGUUUGUUGUUUGGACUUCUCUUGCAAGAAGUUUAGGUAUGAAAAGUUAGUAAUCGUCUGUCCCAGAAAUUGAUCAUCUGAUUCUUGUGGUUUUUAUUGUCAUAAAUUACCUUUUGUCUGGCACUUCUUAGUGCUAGCCUAAAUGAAAUAGGUUAUUUUGUUAACUAAAUGACACCAUCAUAUUUUCUGACCUUGGGAUCCAUUGGAUCUUUAAUUUGCUUGUUCCUAUUCCUACCUUGGUCUCAUCUUGGGGUCUUAAGACAUGAUGGUUCUUUCAUGAUCUCCUGGUCAUGUUGCAUGUUAUGUUCACAUCUGAGAAUAUAGAAGAAGAUACAGGGUUAUUCUAUGUCUUACAUAUGAAGCUAGCACUGCUUGUGCUUCUUAAUCUGAUCCUAGUGUGAUUAUCAUACUUUUAUGCUACUUUUCUUUAAUUAUUAUUCUUCACAUGAUGAUCAAGAUCAUAAAUAAUGUCACCCCUUUGAAUUUACUUUACAUUUUGACAUAAACAAAUCUCUUCGAUAAGUUUGUUUUUGUUUUCAUAUGUGAGAUUAGCAAUGUUGAUCGGGUUACUAUAUCUUGAUCAAGAUGAUAUCGUAUGUCUUAUAUUAGAAUAUGAUCUGUGAAUCAAGGUCAUGUUGAUAUCUAUCUUUGAUUCCAUUAUGUAAUAAUUAGAUUUGAUUCUAUUAAUUGGUUUAAAAUUAAGUAGCUAAGGAAUGAAUUAUUUAGAUUAGCCUUCAUUUAUAAAAAGCAUGAACUUACCUUAAACUCUAGUUCAUCAUAAGUUUGAAAUUAACUGAUUAUAUAUGUUAUAGAUACGAUUGUGGAUAUAUAAAUACAUUAGGACAUUCUCGUUUAAAUUGUACAGAUUGGAUAUCCAGUCCAAUUAUAACUUGAUUAAGCUUGCCUAAUUUGGUUUCAAUUUUAAUUGACAUGAUCAUAAUAAUUUGUAGUUAUGCAAGCUAAGAUGACACCUGAGUAAGUUUCCAUUAUAAUCCUAAAUAAAUUAGGAUAUCCUCGUUUGAAUUGUACAAAUGCUAUGUUUGGUCCAAUUACAACUUAAGUCGGUAAGUCUAAUUUGUGAUAAGUCAAUUUGAAUUUUGAAUGACUUGUGAUCAUAAUGGUAUUUAAUUUGUGAACAGCAUUUUUAUUCCCCAUGAUAACAUUCCAAUUCAAAGAUUCUUUUAAUCAAAUAUUAACAUCUAACUCUAGUCCUAUGGCCUUCAUAAUGAUAAAUUUGGUCAUGAUUGAUAUCGAGUUCAUUUAAUUAGUAAUUCUUUAUCAUGUCACAUUCAAUUAUAUUACCAGUUUUAAUUUGUUGUAUUUAUGUGGUCAUUUCAUCCUAUGUUCUGGAUCAAAUUAUGUCGACAUAGUUAAGAUCAAGUAGAUCAAAAUUGAUCAUCCAAAGGUUUAUUUAGCAUCCAUGAAAUUCACAAAUUUGACAAGUUAAUAUUAAUAUGUAAUUAAAUAUUUCAUUUUCACUUAAUUAAAUCAAGUGAUGCUUUCAUUUUAAUCCAAAUUUUAGUAUUUUGACCAAGUUGAUGUUUCCACAUGAAGUUGACCCUCCAAGGCCACAUUUUUAAUUAUUUGAUUUCUUGCUUGUUUAUUCUUCAGAUUUUGUUUAUCCGUUUUUAUAGAUGACUUGUUUGCUAAACUUUCCUCUCGUAUUCUGAGUUGAUAUUUUAAGGACUAAGAAAUAUUCUAAAAUGGAAUGCUAGAGUUGGGCAUGCUUCUUGAUUUGAUCCAACCAUAUUAUUAUACUUUUAUGGUGCCUUUUCAUUAGUUAUUCUACAUAAGAUGAUCAAGAUUGUAAAUAAUAAUAUACCUUUGAAUUUAUAAUUGAUUUUAAGAGGCAAUGAAAUUCAAUGACAGGGUUCCCCCCGAAAAUGUUUGUACGAUUUCCAUUGUAAAAUAUGUACCUCCAAUUUGUUCUUUUCAUAUAGUGGAACCAUUUGUGAGGUCGAUUAUAUGAGUUUCAAGAUGAAAAGCUUAGACAUUGCUGUUGGAUAAGAGGUAUGCCAACCGAAAGGAAGUUGCUUAUAACUGCAAGCAUUUGAAAAGCAAGAUCUCUACUAUCAUAUGCUUUGCAAUCUAGACUUGAGGAUCACUUGCACCACAAUUGUCUUAACCUUUUUGGGUUGCUCUAAUUGAAGCAUUUCUAACGUCUAAAGAUGUGGCAAAAAGCUUAAGGCGGAGCAUCGGGGAAGACGUCAAAGAUUAAGCUGCAUUGACUUUGUUUGUUUAUACAUUGAUUUUAUUGCACUGGAAACAAAAGGGUCGAGGGGGUGAAAUCCUUUGUAAAGGUUUGAUGUGGUCAAGGAUAUCCUUUGUAAAGGUUUGAUGUGGUCUAAGGAUAUCCGGUGGUAGGGCAUCUUUUUGUUGAAAUCAGGAUCAAUUAGAUUUGACCAUAUUAUUUGGCUUGGAAUUAAGUAGUUAAGGUUUGACAUAUUUUGCUUAGUUUUAUUCUUAAAGAUUUUUUUAUCACAUGUAUAUUUAGUUGACUAAGCUUGGAGUUAGCUAAUUAAGUACCUGUUAUACAUUUUUAGAUAAAGCCGCUUGCGGCAGGCAUGUCAUACAUUGUUAAUUGCACAAAGGUUAUCGCAUAUGUUCAUAGUUUGAAGGUGAGCGAGCACAUGUCGCUGGCGUAGUUGAUGUGUUCAAAGAUUUGGUGGUUAGACAUUUUGAUUAUUUUUUGUGUUCCGCGUAAAAGUUAUUAUUUUUCACUUUGGCAAUAUUUUCUUAAUUUUUUUAACUAUAAUUUUGUGUUCCGU